rnacentral:rRNA from 1 species
UACGUAGGGUGCAAGCGUUGUCCGGAAUUAUUGGGCGUAAAGAGCUCGUAGGUGGCGUGUCGCGUCUGCCGUGAAAGCCCAUGGCUUAACUGUGGGUCUGCGGUGGAUACGGGCAGGCUAGAGGCUGGUAGGGGCAAGCGGAAUUCCUGGUGUAGCGGUGAAAUGCGCAGAUAUCAGGAGGAACACCGGUGGCGAAGGCGGCUUGCUGGGCCAGUUCUGACGCUGAGGAGCGAAAGCGUGGGGGAGCGAACAGG